GAUGAACGCUGGCGGCGUGCCUAAUACAUGCAAGUCGAGCGAACGGACGAGAAGCUUGCUUCUCUGAUGUUAGCGGCGGACGGGUGAGUAACACGUGGAUAACCUACCUAUAAGACUGGGAUAACUUCGGGAAACCGGAGCUAAUACCGGAUAAUAUUUUGAACCGCAUGGUUCAAAAGUGAAAGACGGUCUUGCUGUCACUUAUAGAUGGAUCCGCGCUGCAUUAGCUAGUUGGUAAGGUAACGGCUUACCAAGGCAACGAUGCAUAGCCGACCUGAGAGGGUGAUCGGCCACACUGGAACUGAGACACGGUCCAGACUCCUACGGGAGGCAGCAGUAGGGAAUCUUCCGCAAUGGGCGAAAGCCUGACGGAGCAACGUCGCGUGAGUGAUGAAGGUCUUCGGAUCGUAAAACUCUGUUAUUAGGGAAGAACAUAUGUGUAAGUAACUGUGCACAUCUUGACGGUACCUAAUCAGAAAGCCACGGCUUACUACGUG
rnacentral:rRNA from 1 species